rnacentral:lncRNA from 1 species
UGAAACUUAUGAUCUCCUAAGAAAAAUGAAACUUAGGCGCCGCCCCCGACUAGAUCUAGCCCAAAUCCCCUUCUGCUCCGACCCCAGACCCCGCCGACCACCUUCCAUCGCCCGACCCUAGCCGCCGCAGACCCCAGAACCUGCUGACUACCCUCCACCGCGCGACCCCAGCUGCCCCGACCACCCAUCGCAGCAGCCUCCUCCCGGACCACCAUUGCCGCCGAGGGAUCCUGCCGCCGGGCACCUUCCUCUACCGCGCGGCGUCAAAUACCCUCCUCCGCAGAUCUCGUCCGCCCUCUGCCGCAUCCCCGGCGCCGCCUAAAUGUCGCCUCUCCGCCUCGCUUUCUCCCCAGACAGCACCGUCUCCUUGGCAUCUCUCCUGAACUGCCGAGAUGAGGCGUAUGCGGACUAGGGUUUGGCGCCGCCUGCCCUCCUGGUCGACCUCCUCCGGCCAGUGCUCCUCUGCCCCUGGUCGACCUCGACGUCGUGCUUCCCAGUCCAUCGUCCUUUGUCCUGCUCCCCCCAGUUCGUGCUCCUCAGGUCUCCUCCUCUUGUACUUCCAGCCCGAGGUACCUCUUUAGUUUUUUCCCUAUUUUUUUUCUGUUAAGGUAACACUGAUCAAUAGUUUAUAGUUGACACAUUUGUGAGAAACUUAUGCUUACAUUUACUUAUGCCUGUGCCUUGCAGAAUCACAGGUCAACAGAUGUUUGUCUCAAAACGACAGGUAAUACCAUCAUGCCAAAUCUUCUUCCUCUGAUUUGAAGAAAAUAGCAGAGCGCUCAAACUAUAGCUCUAGCGACAGUUGCCGCUUUGUCUUACUGGUAAAUAUUUGCUACAAAGUGCUAUUUUCAGCUGCAAACAUUCAGCCUAUACCAUGUACUGCAUGUUUUACUAAUAAUUGCUGCCUGGUAUCUUGUCUGACCUAAAACAUAUGGUCAUUUUUAGUAAUAGCAAACGCAAAUUAGAAAUUGGGUUGGGCAGGGAAUUCAUGACCUGAAACAUAUGUUUGUCAACUAUGAUUAUUUUGUUUCAAAUAGCAACACAUACAAACCUUGUUUUGUUUGCAUGUUAAGGUUUAGGAGGUUGAAAAGGAUAUUAACACGCAUAAUAAGUGACUAUCUUAAUUUUUGUGACUAAGGAAGUUGGAACUAUUAGUUGUGUUGAUUGUUACAUCUUAGAACAUUUUUUAUUUGCUCAUGAAAAUGAAAACUGUUGAACAUGACCCCACCUCAAUCCCGCGAAAAAGAACUUGGUGGAACUGUUGGAUGUCUUAUUUUUGAAUGGCAAAGAACAAUCACUCCCGAUCAGGUGAGUACAAAAUAGUCCAAUUUUGUCCCAUCCCAUGUGUAUGUUAGGAUGUUAGCAGUCUGGUUUUCAUGCCUUAUCUGAACAAUUGAAAUAUAUAAUGCAAAGUGGCACCAAAUGUGUAGUUAGUGUCAAAAGACCUUCAUAAUUUGGACUGCUAAUUCUUGUGGAUUAUCUGUUUGAUUGAAACCGCUGUGCAUUGCCAACAUAUUUCGUCCACUAAUUUUGCUCUUGGAUUCUGGCUGUAUUUCUUUCUUUCCAAAUUUGAUUGUGUCAUUCUUGUAAUUUCUUUACCAUGCUAUGCAGAAUGAAUCAUCUUUUGAUGGUGCUCAAGUCAUGGGCAUAGAUGCAUCUAACCAAAUAAUACUUGCUUCUGGAAGGCACCUGGUGUAGGUGGAGAACAUGUUCUUAGAGAGGUACAUUUAAAUCUCGUUCUUUGCCAAAUUAAUGGCUACCACCACUAAAUUUUUGCAACACCUUAUUGUAACAUGAUGGGCAGCAGUUCUAUGUCCCCUCUCCGAGCUGCUCUUUCAUGGUACUAGUUCCUCGGAGCAAUCCUUAUAUAUCUUGUAUAUCUUAAUUACUUCCUAUUUACAGCUAGGUAUUUGGCUUGCUAGGUAAAGCAAAGGAACCAUAUUGAUACUCACGAUGAACUUAAUUAGCAAAGUUAAAAUUCUGUUCAAAAUUCAGAACUGAUAUGAUUUAUUGUAUUUGUACAUGCUUUGCAUAUUGAUGAUUUGGUAAGCAUCGCUACACUGGGCAUGACCAAUUGCUUAAAAGAAGGUCUCUAUCAUAUUGAUGAUCUGUCAAAAUGUACGUGUAGAUAUUCUGCACAUUCUGGUUCAUGCCACUACUUAAUUAAGGUCUUCUUUUAUGAGGUUCUGCCUUGUGCAAAUAAUAUGAUUAUUUAGCAGCUUGGUUUCAUGGCUUUGGAUCUCAUGUGAAUAAACUAUAUAUUAAGUGUUUGCUGUUCUUUGCUUAAUAAUAAUAAUAGUAACUUUGGAAAUUACAAGCUUCAGUACAAAGAUGCCAAAGUUUUGAUAUAAAUUGUACUAACUCAUAAUGGUGGCUUCUAAUUAUAGUGAACUAGAUAGGCGCUCACAUGCUAGUGGGCUUCGGUGGCAUUUUGAGCUCUUGGCUGUUGUCUUUAACUGCCAAUGCGUAGCGGCCAACAAAAUUAGCUCUAGUGCUUUGUGUGAACUUAUGGUGGUUAUUUACUUUAUUUCAUUGUACACUGCAUUGUGCUAUAUAUGUUCCAUAAGUAUAAACAUGCUAUGCUUGGCAUGCGGUUUUGGGGAAAAAGGAAGCAUCGCAUGUGUACAAAUCGUUUGACCUGCAUUUUACUACUUGCUAUUUACUAUACAUCGAAAUUGUACUUGUAAGUGUAAAAAUUUGUCUGCGGUUAAAAAAGUUUUGUAUCAAGCUUGUAAGUUUUGUCACAAGGAUGAGAUUGUUUAAUACUACAAAACUUCAUACCUUUGCUUUCAUAAUUUCUGUAUACGAAACCAUUCUAAACUAAACCAACUAGAUCCGAUCCUUAUCUGUUCAUAAUUUUUUUCUCUGUGGUUCAAAAAGUUAAUUGACGUCUACAAAGUUGUACUAAAGUUGCAUCAAUUAAUUUGGGUAUUAGGGAGUAUCAAUCUUGUAAGUUUUGUCACAAGGAUGAGAUUGUUGAAUGCUACUCCCUCCAUUCUGAAUUACUUGUCGCAGGUAUGGAUGUAUCUAGAUGUAUUUUAGUUUUAGAUACAUCCAUUUUUGUGACAAGUAAUUUGGAACGGAGGGAGUACAAAACUUCAUACCUUUGCUUCAUGUUCUUGAUGUUUGAACUGGGGAUCCCAUGAAAUUCUUUUUUGUAACAUGGUUCUCAUCUCUGAACAUCCUCAGCUUUCCAUUUUUAGAAUUUUUUAAAACAAAAUACGGCAAUUGACAUCUGUUUCGUUAGCUUUUUAUACUAAUGUUUUACUUCUCCGAACUAAAUUUUUGCAAAUUACAUCGAUCUAGUUGCAGGUCUUUGUAUAUUUCCACAAUUAUGGAGGGUGUGGUUUAGCUGUGUUUUUCAGAGCAUUGCAAGUUUGGUGACUCUUCUGGGGGAGUCAUGUGGCUCUUUUUGAAUGAUGGCGUUUCAUAGGAUGGUGGCAAGUCUGGUAUUUAGAAGACAUUUUAUGAAGCCUGAGGAAGUCCUGGAUUAGGGGGUGUUCGGAUAGCCGGAACUAUACCUUCGGCCGGACUCCUGGGCUAUGAAGAUAUAAGAUUGAAAAUUUCGUCCCGUGUCUGGAAGGGACUUUUCUUGGCGUGGAAGGCAAGCUUGGCGAUACGGAUAUGUAGAUCUCCUACCAUUGUAACCGACUCUGUGUAACCCUAGCCCUCUUCGGUGUUUAUAUAAACUGGAGGGUUUUAGUCCGUAGGAACAACCAUCAUACCAUAGGCUAGCUUUUAGGGUUUAGCUUCCUUAAUCUCGUGGUAGAUCUACUCUUGUACUACCCAUAUCAUCAAUAUUAAUCAAGCAGGAGUAGGGUUUUACCUCUAUCGAGAGGGCCCGAACCUGGGUAAAAACAUCGUGUCCUUUGUCUUCUGUUACCAUCCGUCUAG